rnacentral:rRNA from 1 species
UACGUAGGGUGCAAGCGUUAAUCGGAAUUACUGGGCGUAAAGCGUGCGCAGGCGGUGAUGUAAGACAGAUGUGAAAUCCCCGGGCUCAACCUGGGAACUGCAUUUGUGACUGCAUCGCUGGAGUGCGGCAGAGGGGGAUGGAAUUCCGCGUGUAGCAGUGAAAUGCGUAGACAUGCGGAGGAACACCGAUGGCGAAGGCAAUCCCCUGGGCCUGCACUGACGCUCAUGCACGAAAGCGUGGGGAGCAAACAGG